GACGAACGCUGGCGGCGUGCCUAAUACAUGCAAGUUGAGCGCUGAAGGUUGGUACUUGUACCCACUGGAUGAGCAGCGAACGGGUGAGUAACGCGUGGGGAAUCUGCCUUUGAGCGGGGGACAACAUUUGGAAACGAAUGCUAAUACCGCAUAAAAACUUUAAACACAAGUUUUAAGUUUGAAAGAUGCAAUUGCAUCACUCAAAGAUGAUCCCGCGUUGUAUUAGCUAGUUGGUGAGGUAAAGGCUCACCAAGGCGAUGAUACAUAGCCGACCUGAGAGGGUGAUCGGCCACAUUGGGACUGAGACACGGCCCAAACUCCUACGGGAGGCAGCAGUAGGGAAUCUUCGGCAAUGGACGAAAGUCUGACCGAGCAACGCCGCGUGAGUGAAGAAGGUUUUCGGAUCGUAAAACUCUGUUGGUAGAGAAGAACGUUGGUGAGAGUGGAAAGCUCAUCAAGUGACGGUAACUACCCAGAAAGGGACGGCUAACUACGUG
rnacentral:rRNA from 1 species